AGAGUUGAUCAUGGCUCAGGACGAACGCUGGCGGCGUGCUUCAUACAUGCAAGUCGAACGAGAAAUCUACUUCGGUAGAUGGAAAGUGGCGGACGGGUGAGUAAUAUGUAGAGAAUCUGCCCUAGAGAGGGGGACAACCGUUGGAAACGACAGCUAAUACCCCAUAUGAGCGUACCUGAAAUGGUAUUCUUGAAAACUCCGGUGCUCUGGGAUGAGUCUGCAUCUGAUUAGCUAGUUGGGGGUGUAAUGGACCACCAAGGCGACGAUCAGUAGCUGGUUUGAGAGGAUGAUCAGCCACAAUGGGACUGAGACACGGCCCAUACUCCUACGGGAGGCAGCAGUAGGGAAUUUUGCGCAAUGGGCGAAAGCCUGACGCAAGCAACGCCGCGUGAUCGAGACGCUUUUCGGAGUGUAAAGAUCUGUCACAGGGGACGAACGAUGACGGUACCCUGAGAGGAAGCACCGGCUAACUCCGUGCCAGCCGCAGC
rnacentral:rRNA from 1 species